GGCAGCCUGUGACUGAAUGAGAGAAAAGUGCCCUAGAAGCUAUUCAUUACGAAUUCACUGGAAGCUCUCAAACGAGGCUGGCAGAAGCUGAAAUUGAAGUGGUCUCUGACCUAAUUUUCUUCUGCAUGAAACAUCUGCAUCAAGGCUCUCUUUGAUGUAUUCCACUUGGCUCUGUCUACGGGAUUGUAUCACAUGGACUCGGUGUUGCCUCCUUAUUGAAAGACAUUUCCAGCCUUUGCAAGGUUGCUCCCAGUUUACAAAUAGAGCAAGAAAGACCCAGACAAGUAACACUGGCUCACUCAGUAUAUCCCAGAAACCAGGGAUAAAAGAUGAAAACCUAGUCCACUGCCUUCCAGCCACAGCCUGUGUUCUUCAACCAUGUUGCCUUUUUGAGAAAAAUAUUCCUCACCUCAACUCCAUUCAAAUAUAAUGUCUGUUCAGCCAUCAAGAGAGAAAAGACCAAAGAUGGCCGGUUUGACACAAAUUAGAACAACCUUGAUAGCUGUCAACUGGAGACUAUCUGAGAACAAAAGGACAUUAUUGCAAACCAGCACUGGAGGUAAUUUCAUGUGCUUUCUCUGAAGACUUCUUAAUGGCCUUUGAGAAAUAACACAAUUCAGAUCUGCAACCAGGAGGCAGGGUAGAUGUUGGACAGCAUGGGAAACAUGUGACUUGGACUUUAGAUCCUACCAUCUAGGGGUUAGGAGUAUUACCAUUAGAAAAUAGAAAUAUCUAUUUUUCAUUUCACACAUAUUAAUUAAUUCAUCUAAUUAGAAACACUCAUUGGGAACCUACCAUGUGCCAGAUAGUAUGAAUGUGGUGAGGAUACACCAAUGAAUAAGACAUGGUCCUGUUGUAAUUUUAUAGUAUAAUAGGGAUGGGAAGUAGGGAUGUUGAUACAUUAAAAUAUACUUUCGAUUCACUGAGAUAUAUGAAAUAGCAGAGGAAGAAUUUAGAAAGUAUAAUUAGUAUUUCUGGU
rnacentral:lncRNA from 1 species